ACCUGGUUGAUCCUGCCAGUAGUCAUAUGCUUGUCUCAAAGCUUAAGCCAUGCAAGUGUAAGUUCACGCCACGCAUUAGAACGGGCGAAACCGCGAAUGGCUCAGGAACCGGACCUAAUCCUCGGGACCGUAAUCCUCCUCGGAGGCGAUGGAUAACUGUGGCAAUUCUAGAGCUAAUACAUGUGACACAGGCCGCGAUCGGCCGUCGCGCCGUGGUCGCCUCGCCUCGCGCGCUGGCACCCGCGUCGGCCGUCUUGGGUCGCGGCUCUACAUAUUAGACUGAGACCGAUGCACGAUUUCCGUCCUCCCGUCGCUCCCGGGUUUCGGCUCGGGUCGGUGGCGGGAYCAAAGGUCGGCGUGCUCCGCUUUGGUGACUCUGGAUAACUCACUGGUCGAUCGCACGGGCUUCACGCCCGGCGACGGGUCCCUCGAGGGUCCGCCCUAUCAACUGUCGACGGUCGGUUAAGUGCCUACCGUGGUUACUACGGGUAACGGGGAAUCGGGGUUCGAUUCCGGAGAGGGAGCAUGCGAAACGGCUACCACAUCCAAGGAAGGCAGCAGGCGCGCAAAUUACCCACUCCCGGCACGGGGAGGUAGUGACGAAAAAUAACGACGCGGGACUCUGUCGAGGCCCCGCGAUCGGAAUGAGUACACUUCAAAUCCGUUAACGAGGACCAACCGGAGGGCAAGUCUGGUGCCAGCAGCCGCGGUAAUUCCAGCUCCGGUAGCGUAUAUUAAAGUUGUUGCGGUUAAAAAGCUCGUAGUCCGAAUUCGGGUUCGUGGUCGCUCACGCGGCCCCGGGGCGUCGGCGCCAUCGUCCAUCGUUGACUUUGGUCGUCCGUUCGCAUUCCCGGCCCUUUCCGCCGGUGUCGAUCGCUGCAAGACGGCCGUCGUGCGGGCGCGUUCCCUUCGGGGUUCCGGGCUCUCGGGUCCCUCGUCGCGUCGCGCCGUCGGCGAUCUCUCCUCCAAGGGUGCUCUUAACCGAGUGUCCGCGGCGGCCGGUACGUUCACUUUGAAAAAAUUAGAGUGCUCAGAGCGGGCUGUUCAAGCUUGCAUACGAUAAGCAUGGAAUGAUGGAAGAGGGCCUCGUCUACGUCUGUCGGUCUCCGUCUACGGCGAGGCAAUGAUCGAAGGGAGCGGUCGGGGCCACUCGUAUUGCGACGUUAGAGGUGAAAUUCUUGGAUCGUCGCAAGACGAACUGCAGCGAUGGCGUGUGGCAAGCACGUUUUCCUCGAUCAAGAGCGAAAGUCGGAGGUUCGAAGACGAUCAGAUACCGUCGUAGUUCCGACCGUAAACGAUGCCGACCGGCGAUCCGCCGGCGUUCGCUUCCAUGACCCGGCGGGUAGCCUGCGGGAAACCAGAGUUCGGUUCCGGGGGGAGUAUGGUUGCAAAGCUGAAACUUAAAGGAAUUGACGGAAGGGCACCACCAGGAGUGGAGCCUGCGGCUUAAUUUGACUCAACACGGGAAAACUCACCCGGUCCGGACACCGGUAGGAUUGACAGAUCGAUAGCUCUUUCUCGAUUCGGUGGGUGGUGGUGCAUGGCCGUUCUUAGUUGGUGGAGCGAUCCGUCUGGUUGAUUCCGAUAACGAACGAGACUCCGGCCUGCUAACUAGUGCGCCGAUGUGAGUGCGGCCCUCGCUGGUCGUGUGCGGGUCUCGCCGGCAGCGAUUUUUGAUCGUUUGCCGUUGCGUGUCCGGGUCGGUUUCUCACGCACUUCUUAGAGGGACGGGUGGCAGAAAGCCACACGAGGCGGAGCGAUAACAGGUCUGUGAUGCCCUUAGAUGUCCGGGGCCGCACGCGCGCUACACUGGAGGUAUCAGCGGGGACUUCGCCCCGGCCCGAGAGGGUCGGGAAACCUCUCAACCACCUCCCGUGAUAGGGAUCGGGGCCUGUAACCAACCCCGUGAACGAGGAAUUCCCGGUAGGCGCGGGUCAACAGCCCGCGUCGAUCACGUCCCUGCCCUUUGUACACACCGCCCGUCGCUACUACCGAUCGAACGGUCCGGUGAGGUCCUCGGAUCUGGCCGACGACGCCGCCGGGCGUGGGCUUUCGGGUCCCGCCUCGGCGUUCGAUGCCUGGAGAAGACGACCGAACCCGAUCGUUUAGAGGAAGUAAAAGUCGUAACAAGGUUUCCGUAGGUGAACCUGCGGAAGGAUCAUUA
rnacentral:rRNA from 1 species